UUGAUACGGAUCCAAUAGGACAAAUUUCUAACAAUGGUGUGGAGCAAACUUAUAUCAUUCCAAUGGAUCCAAGAGUAGUUCAAAAUCAUAUUCAUAUAAUCCAUAUAUAUUUAGGGCGUGCUUUAACUCAUAUGGGACAGAUUUGGUGCAACAUUUGCAAUCAUAGGCUGAGGGAGCCUAAUCAAACCUAUGGGCUAAAACUACAUAAAGGAAAGCCUAAAGUGAAGAUCAAGUAAGGCUUUUGUGAAGAUUCAACUUUGUUAUGAUGGGCUUGCUAGUUUUAUUAUUUAAACACUUGUUUUAUUUUAGUUUUGUUUGGGCUUGUAUUCUGGCCAUAUUUUAUCUUUGAAGUUUUAGAGUGUUGGGCCAUGUUGUGG
rnacentral:lncRNA from 1 species